GGGAUGUCGCUACUGGAAGCUGUCCUCUUCUUCUCCUUCUGGGCUUGUGGCCUUGGACAGUUAAAGUUGGAGCAACCUGAAAUGUCAAUUUCCAGGACAAGAGGAAAGACUGCCCAUAUAUCUUGUAAGGUGUCUUCUAACACCUUUAGCACAGACUACAUACACUGGUACCAGCAGAAACCAGAUAAGGGUAUAGAACAUUUAAUAUAUGUUUACUCAACAACCCCUGCUUAUAGGAAAAACAACAAAAUUGAGGCAAGAAAAGAUCUUCACACUUCCACUUCCACCUUGAAAAUAAAUUCCUUAGAGAAACAAGAUGAGGCCGUGUACUUCUGUUCUGCAUGGUUUUACAUCCUUAUUUUUUUAAAACUCUUUGGUGAUGGAACAAAACUUGUCAUCACAGACGGAAGCCUUGAUGCAUCAAAGAUUGCCCCCAAGCCCACAAUUUUUCUUCCUUCAGCAGCUGAAAUAAACCUUCAUAAUGCUGGGACAUAUCUUUGUCUCCUUGAGAAAUUUUUCCCUGAUGUCAUUAGGGUCUAUUGGAAGGAAAAAGAUGGCCAUGCAAUUCUGGCAUCCCAGCAGGGAAAUACCAUGAAGACUAAUGACGCAUACAUGAAAUUCAGCUGGCUGACCGUGACUGCGAAGUCAAUGGAUAAAGAACACAAAUGCAUCGUCAAACACGAGAAUAAUAGAAGAGGAGCUGAUCAAGAGAUUCUUUUUCCUUCAAUAAAUAAAGUUGCUGGUAUUAAUCUUACAAUAGAAGACUGCUUGAAAGAUAAAAGUGAUGUAUUGCAGUUGCAGCUCACCAAUACCUCCGCCUACUACACCUACCUCCUCCUCCUCCUCAAGAGCCUGGUCUACUUUGCCAUCGUUUCCUUCUGUCUGUUUAGGAGAACAGCCAUCUGUGGCCAUGGAAAGAGUUCAUAACAGAUGACGGCACAAAAGGAUCAAUUUUUCUCCAGUUAUUUUCCCUGGAUGUGUCUGCUCAGAAUCUAGCUGGACUUUGUUUCUGGGUUUGGGUUAUUUCCGUUCACAUGCAUUUUUCUAUUAUGUCAUUAUUGUG